rnacentral:rRNA from 1 species
UACAGAGGGUGCAAGCGUUAAUCGGAAUUACUGGGCGUAAAGGGCGCGUAGGUUGCUAAGUAAGUUAGAUGUGAAAUGUUCGGGCUUAACCUGGAAUGGCCAUUUAAUACUGCUUAGCUAGAGUACAGUAGAGGGAAGGGGAAUUUCCGGUGUAGCGGUGAAAUGCGUAGAUAUCGGAAGGAACAUCAGUGGCGAAGGCGCCUUCCUGGACUGAUACUGACACUGAGGCGCGACAGCGUGGGGAGCGAACAGG